UACGGGGGGGGCAAGCGUUGUUCGGAAUUACUGGGCGUAAAGCGCGUGUAGGCGGCUAUGCAAGUCGGGCGUGAAAUCCCACGGCUCAACCGUGGAAGUGCACCCGAAACUGCGUAGCUAGAGUCCUGGAGAGGAAGGUGGAAUGCUUGGUGUAGAGGUGAAAUUCGUAGAUAUCAAGCGGAACACCGGUGGCGAAGGCGGCCUUCUGGACAGUGACUGACGCUGAGACGCGAAAGCGUGGGGAGCAAACAGG
rnacentral:rRNA from 1 species